rnacentral:rRNA from 1 species
UACAGAGGGGGCAAGCGUUAUUCGGAAUUAUUGGGCGUAAAGGGCGCGUAGGCGGCCUGGCAAGUGGAAGGUGAAAUCCCUCGGCUUAACCGAGGAACUGCCUGUCAGACUGUAAGGCUUGAGACCGGGAGAGGUGAGUGGAAUUCCCAGUGUAGCGGUGAAAUGCGUAGAUAUUGGGAGGAACACCAGUGGCGAAGGCGGCUCACUGGACCGGAACUGACGCUGAGGCGCGAAAGCGUGGGGAGCAAACAGG